rnacentral:rRNA from 1 species
GCUGGCGGCGUGCCUAAUACAUGCAAGUAGAACGCUGAAGAGAGGAGCUUGCUCUUCUUGGAUGAGUUGCGAACGGGUGAGUAACGCGUAGGUAACCUGCCUUGUAGCGGGGGAUAACUAUUGGAAACGAUAGCUAAUACCGCAUAACAAUGGAUGACCCAUGUCAUUUAUUUGAAAGGGGCAAAUGCUCCACUACAAGAUGGACCUGCGUUGUAUUAGCUAGUAGGUGAGGUAACGGCUCACCUAGGCGACGAUACAUAGCCGACCUGAGAGGGUGAUCGGCCACACUGGGACUGAGACACGGCCCAGACUCCUACGGGAGGCAGCAGUAGGGAAUCUUCGGCAAUGGGGGCAACCCUGACCGAGCAACGCCGCGUGAGUGAAGAAGGUUUUCGGAUCGUAAAGCUCUGUUGUAAGUCAAGAACGAGUGUGAGAGUGGAAAGUUCACACUGUGACGGUAGCUUACCAGAAAGGGACGGCUAACUACGUGCCAGCAGCCGCGGUAAUACGUAGGUCCCGAGCGUUGUCCGGAUUUAUUGGGCGUAAAGCGAGCGCAGGCGGUUUGAUAAGUCUGAAGUUAAAGGCUGUGGCUCAACCAUAGUUCGCUUUGGAAACUGUCAAACUUGAGUGCAGAAGGGGAGAGUGGAAUUCCAUGUGUAGCGGUGAAAUGCGUAGAUAUAUGGAGGAACACCGGUGGCGAAAGCGGCUCUCUGGUCUGUAACUGACGCUGAGGCUCGAAAGCGUGGGGAGCGAACAGGAUUAGAUACCCUGGUAGUCCACGCCGUAAACGAUGAGUGCUAGGUGUUGGAUCCUUUCCGGGAUUCAGUGCCGCAGCUAACGCAUUAAGCACUCCGCCUGGGGAGUACGACCGCAAGGUUGAAACUCAAAGGAAUUGACGGGGGCCCGCACAAGCGGUGGAGCAUGUGGUUUAAUUCGAAGCAACGCGAAGAACCUUACCAGGUCUUGACAUCCCGAUGCUAUUUCUAGAGAUAGAAAGUUACUUCGGUACAUCGGUGACAGGUGGUGCAUGGUUGUCGUCAGCUCGUGUCGUGAGAUGUUGGGUUAAGUCCCGCAACGAGCGCAACCCCUAUUGUUAGUUGCCAUCAUUCAGUUGGGCACUCUAGCGAGACUGCCGGUAAUAAACCGGAGGAAGGUGGGGAUGACGUCAAAUCAUCAUGCCCCUUAUGACCUGGGCUACACACGUGCUACAAUGGUUGGUACAACGAGUUGCGAGUCGGUGACGGCAAGCUAAUCUCUUAAAGCCAAUCUCAGUUCGGAUUGUAGGCUGCAACUCGCCUACAUGAAGUCGGAAUCGCUAGUAAUCGCGGAUCAGCACGCCGCGGUGAAUACGUUCCCGGGCCUUGUACACACCGCCCGUCACACCACGAGAGUUUGUAACACCCGAAGUCGGUGAGGUAACCUUUUGGAGCCAGCCGCCUAAGGUGGGAU